UACGGGGGGGGUAAGCGUUGUUCGGAAUUACUGGGCGUAAAGGGCUCGUAGGCGGCCAACUAAGUCAGACGUGAAAUCCCUCAGCUUAACUGGGGAACUGCGUCUGAUACUGGAUGGCUUGGAUUCGGGAGAGGAAUGCGGAAUUCCAGGUGUAGCGGUGAAAUGCGUAGAUAUCGGGAGGAACACCUGUGGCGAAAGCGGCUCACUGGACCAUAACUGACGCUGAUGCACGAAAGCUGGGGGAGCAAACAGG
rnacentral:rRNA from 1 species